rnacentral:rRNA from 1 species
UUCCCAGAGCCUUGAGCUCUUUGAAGGGUCGUUCGAGACCAGGACGUUGAUAGGUCAGGUGUGGAAGUGCAGUAAUGCAUUAAGCUAACUGAUACUAAUUGCCCGUACGGCUUGUCCCUAUAACCUUAGCAGGUUGUA